AUACAUACAUGAGACUACUGCAUAGACAUUUGGCGUUGAACUGGUUCCCGGCUAGAAGACGAACCCAUCUUGCGAGAUACCUUAGUACUGGAAAUAUCUUUACAAACCUUCCCACUAAUUGUAAAAUGCCUUUUAAGGCGGUUUGUUAAUGAAGAACCAUUAUAAUUCCACCUUGGCACUGCUCGAAGCCAGUUUUUCCUCAACCUUCCCUUAAUGUGAGUAUAGGCUUCACUAUUGUUGUGACUCCCUAGGGCUUCAGAAAUCACUACCCCUCUGUUUCUCCGUAUGGAUCUUAGGU
rnacentral:misc_RNA from 1 species